rnacentral:rRNA from 1 species
ACCUACGGGGGGCAGCAGUGAGGAAUAUUGGUCAAUGGCCGGAAGGCUGAACCAGCCAAGCCGCGUGAAGGACGAAGGUGCCAAGCAUUGUAAACUUCUUUUGUCAAGGGACAAAAUCAGGCUCGAGAGCCUGACCGAGGGUACUUGAGGAAAAAGCAUCGGCUAACUCCGUGCCAGCAGCCGCGGUAAUACGGAGGAUGCGAGCGUUAUCCGGAUUUAUUGGGUGUAAAGGGAGCGUAGACGGCUGUGCAAGUCUGAAGUGAAAUGCCGGGGCCCAACCCCGGAACUGCUUU